CAGCCUGCCCAGUGACAAAGUUCAACGGCCGCGGUACCCUAACCGUGCGAAGGUAGCAUAAUCACUUGUUCUUUAAAUGAGGACUUGUAUCAACGGCACUACGAGGGCUAUACUGUCUCCUUUUUCUAAUCAGUGAAACUGAUCUCCCCGUGAAGAAGCGGGGAUUAAAAUAUAAGACGAGAAGACCCCAUGGAGCUUUAAACUUACCACACACCUCUGUGAUGCUCUACCAUUAAACACAAGAGAUCUGCGUGCUAGUUUUAGGUUGGGGGGACCACGGAGUAAAAUUAAACCUCCACAACAAAUGGGCUUACACCCUUAUCCACGAGACACAACUCUAAGAAUUAUUAAACUAAUGCUUAUGACCCGAUAUUCGAUCAAUGAACCAAGUUACCCUGGGGAUAACAGCGCAAUCUACUUCAAGAGCCCCUAUCGACAAGUAGGUUUACGACCUCGAUGUUGGAUCAGGGUAUCCCGGUGGUGCAGCCGCUACCGAUGGUUCGUUUGUUCAACGAUUAAAACCCUACGUGAUCUGA
rnacentral:rRNA from 1 species